GGGCUUAGGUCAAUCUAACCUGGGGCCUUCAAAGCUCAAAAUAUGGACUAAACCCCACACCCUCUAC
rnacentral:tRNA from 1 species